CACUCCUGUCCAUCGGCUCCGAGUAACUGGUCAGGGUGGCUGGGAAAAGAGGAGACAAGCUGUCAAGAUCAGAUGAAGAGUGAAAUUCCUGCACCACUAGUUGCAUUAUUGGAAUCGCAACCUGCAACGGAUGAAGCGUCUCUAUUGACGGGUGGAGGUGGGGCUGCUGAAGGCCUGUCCCGGAGCAGCAGGAGGAAGGGUGGAGCAGGGGCUGCAGGCGGGGGGCGAGGCGGUGCUGCUGGGUGAAACAGGUGAGAUUGGGCCUUUCUGAGCAUCUUCUGCAUGUUAAGGAGGUGUGUAUUUACUGCAGGAGGACGCCGAAACGAGUCAUCAACGUGUUCGCUGCCUCGUCCACUGGGGGGGGGGGGCCGAGAUCCAGACCUAACCCCCCUAAAGAGAGACAGAGACAGAGAGAAUGAAAUUAAGUCAAGUAUAAAGUGAAACCAGCUAACUAGCUCACCACAAUUGAAAAAGUUAAUUAUGAGCCUCGCAUAUUCCGCUGCUUGUGUCAACUAUAUCAUAAUUAUGGACUCCACAUAAAAAUUCAAUAAUUCAAGCUGCUGCGUGACGACAUACAGAGAUGAGACCGACAGACACAGACUACAUCAACCAGCUCACACCGCGCUAUAUCACCAGCUCACAGACAGACGGAGAGAUAGAAAAGCUACGAUUGUCAAGAAGAAACACCGAUAAAACUGCUGAAAGAGGGAAGAGUUUCAUUCUGAGGUGAUUUCAGCAUUACAGUCAGAGAAAAAACACAGAAUGAACAAACGAUAGAAGGAAUAAACGAUAAACAAUAAAGCAUA